UACGUAGGGUGCAAGCGUUAUUCGGAAUUACUGGGCGUAAAGCGUGCGCAGGCGGUUGUGCAAGACAGAUGUGAAAUCCCCGGGCUCAACCUGGGAACUGCAUUUGUGACUGCAUAGCUAGAGUACGGUAGAGGGGGAUGGAAUUCCGCGUGUAGCAGUGAAAUGCGUAGAUAUGCGGAGGAACACCGAUGGCGAAGGCAAUCCCCUGGACCUGUACUGACGCUCAUGCACGAAAGCGUGGGGAGCAAACAGG
rnacentral:rRNA from 1 species